CCUGGCCUUGGGCCGCUCACGGGGGCUCGUCGCUUGCGACGGCGUUUCCGGGGGUGCUUAGCCCUUGACUCUUACCUUGACUAUGCGCACCUUUUGUUGUUCCCUCGGCGGGUCCGCCUGCCGACAGGAACCCCAUAAACCUUAAUGUAGUAGCAUCAAACGUCUGAAAACAAAUUUAAUUAUUUA
rnacentral:misc_RNA from 1 species